CGCGCAGGCGGUCGUCCAAGUCGCGUGUGAAAGCCCCCGGCUCAACUGGGGAGGGUCACGCGAUACUGAUCGACUCGAAGGCAGGAGAGGGUAGUGGAAUUCCCGGUGUAGUGGUGAAAUGCGUAGAUAUCGGGAGGAACACCAGUGGCGAAGGCGACUACCUGGCCUGUUCUUGACGCUGAGGCGCGAAAGCUAGGGGAGCAAACGG
rnacentral:rRNA from 1 species